CCAGUAGUCAUAUGCUUGUCUCAAAGAUUAAGCCAUGCAUGUCUAAGUAUAAGCACUUUAUACUGUGAAACUGCGAAUGGCUCAUUAAAUCAGUUAUCGUUUAUUUGAUAGUACCUUACUACAUGGAUACCUGUGGUAAUUCUAGAGCUAAUACAUGCUAAAAACCCCGACUUCAGGAAGGGGUGUAUUUAUUAGAUAAAAAACCAACGCCCUUCGGGGCUCCUUGGUGAAUCAUAAUAACUUAACGAAUCGCAUGGCCUUGCGCCGGCGAUGGUUCAUUCAAAUUUCUGCCCUAUCAACUUUCGAUGGUAGGAUAGUGGCCUACCAUGGUGGCAACGGGUAACGGGGAAUUAGGGUCCGAUUCCGGAGAGGGAGCCUGAGAAACGGCUACCACAUCCAAGGAAGGCAGCAGGCGCGCAAAUUACCCAAUCCCGAUACGGGGAGGUAGUGACAAUAAAUACUGAUACGGGGCUCUUUUGGGUCUCGUAAUUGGAAUGAGAACAAUUUAAAUCCCUUAACGAGGAACAAUUGGAGGGCAAGUCUGGUGCCAGCAGCCGCGGUAAUUCCAGCUCCAAUAGCGUAUAUUAAAGUUGUUGCAGUUAAAAAGCUCGUAGUUGAACCUUGGGUCUGGCUGGCCGGUCCGCCUCACCGCGAGUACUGGUCCGGCUGGACCUUUCCUUCUGGGGAACCUCAUGGCCUUCACUGGCUGUGGGGGGAACCAGGACUUUUACUGUGAAAGAAUUAGAGUGUUCAAAGCAGGCCUUUGCUCGAAUACAUUAGCAUGGAAUAAUAGAAUAGGACGUGCGGUUCUAUUUUGUUGGUUUCUAGGACCGCCGUAAUGAUUAAUAGGGAUAGUCGAGGGCGUCAGUAUUCAGCUGUCAGAUGUGAAAUUCUUGGAUUUGCUGAAGACUAACUACUGCGAAAGCAUUCGCCAAGGAUGUUUUCAUUAAUCAGGGAACGAAAGUUAGGGGAUCGAGACGAUCAGAUAUCGUCGUAGUCUUAACCAUAAACUAUGCCGACUAGGGAUCGGGACGGGAAUUCUAUGAUG
rnacentral:rRNA from 1 species